rnacentral:rRNA from 1 species
CAGCCCUUGACAUGGCAGGACGACUUCCGGAGACGGAUUUCUUCACUUCGGUGACCUGCACACAGGUGCUGCAUGGCUGUCGUCAGCUCGUGUCGUGAGAUGUUGGGUUAAGUCCCGCAACGAGCGCAACCCUCGCCUCUAGUUGCCAUCAUUCAGUUGGGCACUCUAGAGGGACUGCCGGUGAUAAGCCGAGAGGAAGGUGGGGAUGACGUCAAGUCCUCAUGGCCCUUACGGGCUGGGCUACACACGUGCUACAAUGGCGGUGACAAUGGGCAGCUAACCCGCGAGGGUGAGCUAAUCUCCAAAAGCCGUCUCAGUUCGGAUUGCACUCUGCAACUCGAGUGCAUGAAGUUGGAAUCGCUAGUAAUCGUGGAUCAGAAUGCCACGGUGAAUACGUUCCC